rnacentral:rRNA from 1 species
UACGUAGGGGGCAAGCGUUAAUCGGAAUUACUGGGCGUAAAGGGCGCGUAGGUGGGCAAAUAAGUCAGAUGUGAAAGCCCUGGGCUUAACCUAGGAACUGCAUUUGAUACUGUAAGUCUAGAGUCGAGUAGAGGGUAGCGGAAUUCUCGGUGUAGCGGUGAAAUGCGUAGAUAUCGGGAAGAACACCAGUGGCGAAGGCGGCUACCUGGGCUCCAACUGACACUGAGGCGCGAAAGCGUGGGGAGCGAACAGG